GAUGAACGCUGGCGGCGUGCCUAAUACAUGCAAGUCGAGCGAACAGAUAAGGAGCUUGCUCCUUUGACGUUAGCGGCGGACGGGUGAGUAACACGUGGAUAACCUACCUAUAAGACUGGGAUAACUUCGGGAAACCGGAGCUAAUACCGGAUAACAUAUUGAACCGCAUGGUUCAAUAGUGAAAGGCGGCUUUGCUGUUACUUAUAGAUGGAUCCGCGCCGUAUUAGCUAGUUGGUAAGGUAACGGCUUACCAAGGCAACGAUACGUAGCCGACCUGAGAGGGUGAUCGGCCACACUGGAACUGAGACACGGUCCAGACUCCUACGGGAGGCAGCAGUAGGGAAUCUUCCGCAAUGGGCGAAAGCCUGACGGAGCAACGCCGCGUGAGUGAUGAAGGUCUUCGGAUCGUAAAACUCUGUUAUCAGGGAAGAACAAAUGUGUAAGUAACUGUGCACAUCUUGACGGUACCUGAUCAGAAAGCCACGGCUAACUACGU
rnacentral:rRNA from 1 species